AACUGAUACUACCUGCGGGAACCUGCGGAAGGAUCAUUACUGAAGUGCUUGGAGAUGUUGCUGGCUCCUUUCGAGGAGUACUGUGCACUCUUCCAACUUUUCACAAUUUCCUUCACACCCUGUGCACUCCCCGUAGGGCCCCUCAAAGGCUUGAAUGCCUGAGAGGGAGACUCUAUGUCUGUUUUCACUACACCCCUUAAUGAAUGUAUGGUGAUGUCACAAAAAUAUAAAAGAAACAAC
rnacentral:misc_RNA from 1 species